CUCAGAACCUAUAUCCCAUCCCAGAGAAAGGCACCACUUCAAUGACAGGUGUGAGCUGGAACAUCAAGAGUGAAAAUGAAAAUGGCCUACAACCAGCUUAAUGACUGACUCCUUCCAUCAACCCUGGAAAACAGUGACCAUAUUCCAAAAUCUUCUUGCUGCCCAGUGGAAUCUCCUGACAUGGCCUUCUGCAGUGUCACGCUCCGUGUAUUUGACAAGCUGAGUUGGACACUCUGUGUGGUAGAGUGUCAGUUUGUCAAAUACCCCAAGUGUGGCUCAUGCUAAUCAGCUCCAGGCCCAGGAAAGAGCAGAUAGCCUUCUGGCUAUAUAUAAAUGCUUACAAAAUACCAAGCUCUCUCAAGUUACUCUAUGGCUUUGAGGGAACUAUAACAUUUCAUCAGAGGACACCAGAGUAAGAACGAUGCAGCUUUGGGGCCUACAAGUCUGGGAUGCAUCAAUGUACAUUGUAAGAAUGCCAUGGAAUUCACAAUGGUCUUGAAAAUACAUAAGGGAAACCAGGAGGGAAGUGCUAUUUUAUUUAUUAUUAAUGUCUUUAUUCAUGUUCUCCUUACAGCCAAGACACCAGAAUUUUCAUACAACCAUCAUAAAUUUUACGAGACUGUAGGACACAAAAAUCCACUUUCUUGCCUUUGGAGCAUAUCUUGAC